GAUGAACGCUGGCGGCGUGCUUAACACAUGCCAGUCGAACGGUGAAGGCGGAGCUUGCUCUGCUGGAUCAGUGGCGAACGGGUGAGUAACACGUGAGCAAUCUGCCCCUGACUCUGGGAUAAGCGCUGGAAACGGCGUCUAAUACUGGAUACGAGCUGCGAAGGCAUCUUCAGCAGCUGGAAAGAAUUUCGGUCAGGGAUGAGCUCGCGGCCUAUCAGCUUGUUGGUGAGGUAAUGGCUCACCAAGGCGUCGACGGGUAGCCGGCCUGAGAGGGUGACCGGGCCACACGGGGAUGGGAAACCGGCCAGACUCCCUAGGGGGGGAGGAGGGGGGAAUAUUGCACAAAGGGGGGAAGGCUGAUGCAGCAAAGCCGGGGGGGGGAGGAAGGGCCUCGGGGUGGAAAACCCUUUUGCGCGGGAAGAAGGGGAAGGGACGGGAACGGGUAAAAAAGGCCCGGGCAAAUAAGGG
rnacentral:rRNA from 1 species